rnacentral:rRNA from 1 species
AUGGCGUCUGGAUCCGCUUCUUCCGGCGGCUCCGUUCCACUUGGGUCCUUGUCUGGAUCCACUUCUUCCGGCGACUCUAGCUCUCGGAGGGGGCUCAUCUCGUGCUUGCACAGCCUCAACUGCCGCCACGAGUAUGCGCCUCUUCCCCACGACGACGAUUUGUGCCAAGCCACGCGCAAGCUCAUCGUCGGUCACUACGACGAGGCGUUCCGCCGGCUCCGGCUGCCCUGCAAGGCCAUGCCCGACCUUUACGGCCUCCUCAGCACCGACAGCCUCUGCAUCGGCCCCCUCGACCCCGUCUCCAACAUCAUCCUCAACACCCUCGCCCUCCUCCCCACCACCCUCGUCGAAGUCGAGGCCAAGACAGAGUCCGAUGAGGCGGAGUCCGACGAUGAGAGCAUGAGGUCCAAGAGAAAGAGACACGGACCCGGUUUCGACCCCUGGCACGAGGUUGCAUGCAGGUCCGCCCAGAGUCUCAUGGCUUUCCUUGUGGCAUACUUCGGAUGCAUCAACGAGGCACAGGCCUUCCGCUACCUCUACAGGGCCGGCGCCAAUCUCCUCCUCGCCGUCAUGCUCGUCCAGCACGACCUCUACCAUACCAAGGAGGAGGCACUGGACCCUGAAUCCGACAGGACCAAGGCCGCCCUCAAGUUGGCGGCCACCAGCGCAGGCCACUGUUCGCCCGCCAUCUUUGCUCAGGUCAUGGCAAUCCGGCUCAAACAGGGCGACCUCGACCUCUUCAACCAGCAUCUGUUUUCGGCCAAUGACCCUCUCACGGCUGAGGAUGCCCAUGAAAUCCACCGUGGGUUGCACAUGAUGAUGACCCCGAUGUGUGUUGCCAACAUUAGCAACAGCAAAGAUGGGCUGGUUGUCCAUGCCCGUCACAACCUCGACGACGGCGCUAUCUGGUCCGAGACAAAGCCCCUUGUCUCUUCUAGUGCAGCAGCUCACACCAGGAUCACCUCCACCACCUUCCGCUGCGAUGGGACCGCCAUCUCGUCUCUGCAGUCCGGACUGCCUAGCAAGCUGCAAGAUUGCCUGACGAUAGCAGAUUUCCAGAAACACAUUCUCAUCGCCUCGUGCGGUGGCGACAACUGCGAUUACCUGCGGUCUCUCAAGAUGUACCUCUAUGGCAUGAUUCACAACCUGUACGUCCAGGCCUUCAAGAUGUUGCGCGCACCCUCGGGCUCCACCAUGCGCAGCAUCCUCAUGGCCGGCCAUUGCUAUGGCCCCUGUGACCCUCUCUCCAACAUCAUCAUUAACUCAGUCUGGCAUGAGACGUGUGGCUCCGUUCUCCCGGCUUCUGACCGCAUGAUGUUGAAAGAGUACAAUGACAUCCUGGACCCCCUAUCUCUGCUCCGCCUAGUUGUCCGUUCCCUCGAGGGGCUUGCAAACCUUGCCUUGUCCGUCGACCCCCAAUCCUCAAUUGCUCGUGCUCUGGAGAAACUCUGCAGUGCAAGAUGCGACCUUGUUGACAUGUUAUCGUCUGCACCAAAGAUUGAUGAAAUCCCCUUCCACGAGGCGGCCAUGGCUGCUAGACAGCCGCUGCCCCUUCAGCUAGGUGAAUUUCACCGGAUGCUGCUGCUCAAUCCUGAAGCCCGAAAACUCCUGGUCUCACAUAUAACCAAGGCGCAAACCAGCGGUGUUGUGUUGUUCUAUGAUAAAAUCAGAGAAGAUGUUGUUGCGCUGUGGCGUGUUUACAAAGCAGCACCCUGGUAUCAACCCCCCGUGCAAGCUCCUGCUCCUGAACUUAGUGUAGAGGCCUUGAGGCGGGUAUCAGACAUGAGAUCACAGUAUGAGUAUUGGAGGAGCUGGCUGCGUUCGAAGAUUGAACAGGUGCUCAAGGAUUACACGGACCAUCAUUUUUGGGGACCAAAGUAUGAACUUGAUUUUAUAAUUGGUGCGGAUCAAAGACAGGAAGGCUAUGCCCCUUCACUGAUACGUGCUACCUAG